rnacentral:rRNA from 1 species
AGUGAACGCUGGCGGUAGGCCUAACACAUGCAAGUCGAACGGCAGCACAGUAAGAGCUUGCUCUUACGGGUGGCGAGUGGCGGACGGGUGAGGAAUACAUCGGAAUCUACUUUUUCGUGGGGGAUAACGUAGGGAAACUUGCGCUAAUACCGCAUACGACCUACGGGUGAAAGCAGGGGAUCUUCGGACCUUGCGCGAUUGAAUGAGCCGAUGUCGGAUUAGCUAUUUGGCGGGGUAAAGGCCCACCAAGGCGACGAUCCGUAGCUGGUCUGAGAGGAUGAUCCGCCACACUGGAACUGAGACACGGUCCAGACUCCUACGGGAGGCAGCAGUGGGGAAUAUUGGACAAUGGGCGCAAGCCUGAUCCAGCCAUACCGCGUGGGUGAAGAAGGCCUUCGGGUUGUAAAGCCCUUUUGUUGGGAAAGAAAAGCAGCAGGUUAAUACCCCGCUGUUCUGACGGUACCCAAAGAAUAAGCACCGGCUAACUUCGUG